rnacentral:rRNA from 1 species
GGGUUGUGAGGUUAAGCGACUAAGCGUACACGGUGGAUGCCCUGGCAGUCAGAGGCGAUGAAGGACGUGCUAAUCUGCGAUAAGCGUCGGUAAGGUGAUAUGAACCGUUAUAACCGGCGAUUUCCGAAUGGGGAAACCCAGUGUGAUUCGUCACACUAUCAUUAACUGAAUCCAUAGGUUAAUGAGGCGAACCGGGGGAACUGAAACAUCUAAGUACCCCGAGGAAAAGAAAUCAACCGAGAUUCCCCCAGUAGCGGCGAGCGAACGGGGAGCAGCCCAGAGCCUGAAUCAGUGUGUGUGUUAGUGGAAGCGUCUGGAAAGGCGCGCGAUACAGGGUGACAGCCCCGUACACAAAAAUGCACAUACUGUGAGCUCGAUGAGUAGGGCGGGACACGUGGUAUCCUGUCUGAAUAUGGGGGGACCAUCCUCCAAGGCUAAAUACUCCUGACUGACCGAUAGUGAACCAGUACCGUGAGGGAAAGGCGAAAAGAACCCCGGCGAGGGGAGUGAAAAAGAACCUGAAACCGUGUACGUACAAGCAGUGGGAGCACGCUUAGGCGUGUGACUGCGUACCUUUUGUAUAAUGGGUCAGCGACUUAUAUUCUGUAGCAAGGUUAACCGAAUAGGGGAGCCGAAGGGAAACCGAGUCUUAACUGGGCGUUAAGUUGCAGGGUAUAGACCCGAAACCCGGUGAUCUAGCCAUGGGCAGGUUGAAGGUUGGGUAACACUAACUGGAGGACCGAACCGACUAAUGUUGAAAAAUUAGCGGAUGACUUGUGGCUGGGGGUGAAAGGCCAAUCAAACCGGGAGAUAGCUGGUUCUCCCCGAAAGCUAUUUAGGUAGCGCCUCGUGAAUUCAUCUCCGGGGGUAGAGCACUGUUUCGGCAAGGGGGUCAUCCCGACUUACCAACCCGAUGCAAACUGCGAAUACCGGAGAAUGUUAUCACGGGAGACACACGGCGGGUGCUAACGUCCGUCGUGAAGAGGGAAACAACCCAGACCGCCAGCUAAGGUCCCAAAGUCAUGGUUAAGUGGGAAACGAUGUGGGAAGGCCCAGACAGCCAGGAUGUUGGCUUAGAAGCAGCCAUCAUUUAAAGAAAGCGUAAUAGCUCACUGGUCGAGUCGGCCUGCGCGGAAGAUGUAACGGGGCUAAACCAUGCACCGAAGCUGCGGCAGCGACGCUUAUGCGUUGUUGGGUAGGGGAGCGUUCUGUAAGCCUGUGAAGGUGUGCUGUGAGGCAUGCUGGAGGUAUCAGAAGUGCGAAUGCUGACAUAAGUAACGAUAAAGCGGGUGAAAAGCCCGCUCGCCGGAAGACCAAGGGUUCCUGUCCAACGUUAAUCGGGGCAGGGUGAGUCGACCCCUAAGGCGAGGCCGAAAGGCGUAGUCGAUGGGAAACAGGUUAAUAUUCCUGUACUUGGUGUUACUGCGAAGGGGGGACGGAGAAGGCUAUGUUGGCCGGGCGACGGUUGUCCCGGUUUAAGCGUGUAGGCUGGUUUUCCAGGCAAAUCCGGAAAAUCAAGGCUGAGGCGUGAUGACGAGGCACUACGGUGCUGAAGCAACAAAUGCCCUGCUUCCAGGAAAAGCCUCUAAGCAUCAGGUAACAUCAAAUCGUACCCCAAACCGACACAGGUGGUCAGGUAGAGAAUACCAAGGCGCUUGAGAGAACUCGGGUGAAGGAACUAGGCAAAAUGGUGCCGUAACUUCGGGAGAAGGCACGCUGAUAUGUAGGUGAAGUCCCUCGCGGAUGGAGCUGAAAUCAGUCGAAGAUACCAGCUGGCUGCAACUGUUUAUUAAAAACACAGCACUGUGCAAACACGAAAGUGGACGUAUACGGUGUGACGCCUGCCCGGUGCCGGAAGGUUAAUUGAUGGGGUCAGCGCAAGCGAAGCUCUUGAUCGAAGCCCCGGUAAACGGCGGCCGUAACUAUAACGGUCCUAAGGUAGCGAAAUUCCUUGUCGGGUAAGUUCCGACCUGCACGAAUGGCGUAAUGAUGGCCAGGCUGUCUCCACCCGAGACUCAGUGAAAUUGAACUCGCUGUGAAGAUGCAGUGUACCCGCGGCAAGACGGAAAGACCCCGUGAACCUUUACUAUAGCUUGACACUGAACAUUGAGCCUUGAUGUGUAGGAUAGGUGGGAGGCUUUGAAGUGUGGACGCCAGUCUGCAUGGAGCCGACCUUGAAAUACCACCCUUUAAUGUUUGAUGUUCUAACGUUGACCCGUGAUCCGGGUUGCGGACAGUGUCUGGUGGGUAGUUUGACUGGGGCGGUCUCCUCCUAAAGAGUAACGGAGGAGCACGAAGGUUGGCUAAUCCUGGUCGGACAUCAGGAGGUUAGUGCAAUGGCAUAAGCCAGCUUGACUGCGAGCGUGACGGCGCGAGCAGGUGCGAAAGCAGGUCAUAGUGAUCCGGUGGUUCUGAAUGGAAGGGCCAUCGCUCAACGGAUAAAAGGUACUCCGGGGAUAACAGGCUGAUACCGCCCAAGAGUUCAUAUCGACGGCGGUGUUUGGCACCUCGAUGUCGGCUCAUCACAUCCUGGGGCUGAAGUAGGUCCCAAGGGUAUGGCUGUUCGCCAUUUAAAGUGGUACGCGAGCUGGGUUUAGAACGUCGUGAGACAGUUCGGUCCCUAUCUGCCGUGGGCGCUGGAGAACUGAGGGGGGCUGCUCCUAGUACGAGAGGACCGGAGUGGACGCAUCACUGGUGUUCGGGUUGUCAUGCCAAUGGCACUGCCCGGUAGCUAAAUGCGGAAGAGAUAAGUGCUGAAAGCAUCUAAGCACGAAACUUGCCCCGAGAUGAGUUCUCCCUGACUCCUUGAGAGUCCUGAAGGAACGUUGAAGACGACGACGUUGAUAGGCCGGGUGUGUAAGCGCAGCGAUGCGUUGAGCUAACCGGUACUAAUGAACCGUGAGGCUUAACCUUACAACGCCGAAGCUGUU